rnacentral:tRNA from 1 species
GGUUAGGUAGCCUAGUGGUUAAGGCAGCCCAUAUGAGUUGGGUCUGAGUACAGAUGCAGUACUUGGUUGCUGGUUUGAAUCCAGCUCUGACCA